AUGAAGUCACAGGCAGAUCGUUGCCGCACCGAGCGUCAAUUUGUCGUCGGUGAGCUGGUCCUCUUGAAGUUGCAGCCCUAUGCACAACACUUAGUGGUCAAUCGCCCCUGUCACAAGCUUUCAUACAAAUACUUUGGACCAUACACCAUUCUGGAACGAAUUGGAGAGGUCGUGUACCGCCUAAAAUUGCCGGCUGCUGCCCAAGUACAUCCAGUCUUCCACGUUUCACAGUUAAAGCCUUUCUCGGCCGAUUACUCACCGGUUUUCAGCGAGCUUCCGCCGCCGGACCUGGUGCUCUAUGAUAAGCUUCCGUCAGCAAUCCUGCAACGCCGCAUGGUCCGUGAUGGCAACAGGGCCACAACUCAAGUGCUUGUCAAAUGGGGUGAUCUGCCAGAUGAUUCUGCCACAUGGGAGAACUAUGAGGUGGUCAAGCAUCGUUUUCCGUAUUCUCCAUUGUGGGAUGAAGCUCAAUCUCAAGCGGCGGCAAGUGUCACGCCUACGCCUGCGUUGGCGGACAAUGAGUCGCCUGGCUCAGAAGAUCCAGGCGAAAGAGCUCUAUGA
rnacentral:rRNA from 1 species